AUUGAACGCUGGCGGCAUGCUUUACACAUGCAAGUCGAACGGUAACAGGCCGCAAGGUGCUGACGAGUGGCGAACGGGUGAGUAACGCAUCGGAACGUGCCCAGUCGUGGGGGAUAACGCAGCGAAAGCUGCGCUAAUACCGCAUACGAUCUCUGGAUGAAAGCGGGGGACCGAAAGGCCUCGAGCGAUUGGAGCGGCCGAUGUCAGAUUAGGUAGUUGGUGGGGUAAAGGCUCACCAAGCCAACGAUCUGUAGCUGGUCUGAGAGGACGACCAGCCACACUGGGACUGAGACACGGCCCAGACUCCUACGGGAGGCAGCAGUGGGGAAUUUUGGACAAUGGGCGCAAGCCUGAUCCAGCAAUGCCGCGUGCAGGAAGAAGGCCUUCGGGUUGUAAACUGCUUUUGUACGGAACGAAACGGUCCUGGUUAAUACCUGGGGCUAAUGACGGUACCGUGAGAAUAAGCACCGGCUAACUACGUGCCAGCAGCCGCGGUAAUAC
rnacentral:rRNA from 1 species